rnacentral:rRNA from 1 species
GCUUAACCGAAGAAGUGCAUCGGAAACUGGGUGACUUGAGUGCAGAAGAGGACAGUGGAACUCCAUGUGUAGCGGUGGAAUGCGUAGAUAUAUGGAAGAACACCAGUGGCGAAGGCGGCUGUCUGGUCUGCAACUGACGCUGAGGCUCGAAAGCAUGGGUAGCGAACAGGAUUAGAUACCCUGGUAGUCCAUGCCGUAAACGAUGAGUGCUAGGUGUUGGAGGGUUUCCGCCCUUCAGUGCCGGAGCUAACGCAUUAAGCACUCCGCCUGGGGAGUACGACCGCAAGGUUGAAACUCAAAGGAAUUGACGGGGGCCCGCACAAGCGGUGGAGCAUGUGGUUUAAUUCGAAGCUACGCGAAGAACCUUACCAGGUCUUGACAUCUUGCGCUAACCUAGGAGAUUAGGCGUUCCCUUCGGGGACGCAAUGACAGGUGGUGCAUGGUCGUCGUCAGCUCGUGUCGUGAGAUGUUGGGUUAAGUCCCGCAACGAGCGCAACCCUUGUUACUAGUUGCCAGCAUUCAGUUGGGCACUCUAGUGAGACUGCCGGUGACAAACCGGAGGAAGGUGGGGAUGACGUCAGAUCAUCAUGCCCCUUAUGACCUGGGCUACACACGUGCUACAAUGGUCGGUACAACG